AUUGAACGCUGGCGGCAUGCUUUACACAUGCAAGUCGAACGGUAACAGGCCGCAAGGUGCUGACGAGUGGCGAACGGGUGAGUAAUGCAUCGGAACGUGCCCAGUCGUGGGGGAUAACGCAGCGAAAGCUGCGCUAAUACCGCAUACGAUCUAUGGAUGAAAGCGGGAGACCGAAAGGCCUCGCGCGAUUGGAGCGGCCGAUGUCAGAUUAGGUAGUUGGUGGGGUAAAGGCACACCACGCCAACGAUCUGUAGCUGGUCUGAGAGGACGACCGGCCACAAGGGGACUUGAAGUGGGCCCGGACACCGACGGGAGGCAGCAGUGGAGAAUUUUGGACAAUGGGCGCAAGCCUGAUCCAGCAAUGCCGCGUGCAGGAAGAAGGCCUUCGGGUUGUAAACUGCUUUUGUACGGAACGAAACGGUCCGGGUUAAUACCCUGGGCUAAUGACGGUACCGUAAGAAUAAGCACCGGCUAACUACGUGCCAGCCGCCGCAGUAACAC
rnacentral:rRNA from 1 species